AUGGAAUACAGGAGUCGGCGGCCACCACUCACCGCCCACCGCCAACAUGAUUUGAGGGGUCGGACGUCAGUGUUGUUCUCGCCACCUCCCCCUGGCGUGAACGCGCCGUUUUUCAUUUGCGCCGUCGACCGUGCUAUAUCGGCACUUAUAGUUUGCGACGCACUAACCGCCGCCAUCUACUCGGCGGCACUAUUAAUGGAGCCGGAUUUUAUCAUUGUAUACGAGCCAUCAAUGUCAGUUUCAGAUACAAACCUUCAUAAUGGAGAAAAGCCCAUCUCCAAAAUUACUGAUGCGGAACUCGCCGAAAAGCAUGGUCAUAUGAAGUUAGUAUGCUCACAGACAAGGUUCGGAAAUACCAUGAAACUGUUGUCACCAGACCACAAAAACUACAUCAUAUCAGAAACCAGUCUUGGCGGUCUAACCCAGAUGCAUGAAGUGACUCUAAGGCGCAUAAUGUUGGUUAGACUAGCCAAGAGCAUAGAUAUGAACAUUCAAUCCAUUACCAUUGAUAAAACGCCAAUUCCUAUAACAAAAGAGGACGUGCAGUGUAUAUUUGGCAUUCCGAUAGAAGGGGAGGAUAUAGAGCCACAUCUGGAAAUGCAAACUGACACAGAAUUGUUUACUGCCUAUGCAAACAAUGGGCAAAUUUUGAUUUCUGACCUUGAAACGGCGAUCCGAGCUUCCAAAGCCCCAGACGGCGAUUUCCUGAGACGGUUCAUUCUGUAUGCAAUUGGUACUGUUCUAGCACCAACAACACAACAUUAUGUGGACUCGAAAUUUCUCAACCUUGUUACAGAUCUUGAAAACCUUCGGAAAUUUAAUUGGGGAUGUUUCACACUUAAUCACUUCUUCAAGUCCGUUCACAAGUUUAGAAAACGAGAUCACGUAAAUCUACAAGGAAAUCUAAUUCGGCUCCAGAUUGACAUGGAAAUUGAAGCCAUGAAUGCACGCAUUGCUGAUCAUGAAAAGAAGGUAGGCAGGGAGUUAAUGGAAAUUGAGCACAGAUUUGAUGUCAAAUACCAGACGCUCGGUGAAGAGUUGAUCGACAUGAAGACUAAAACUGGCACUAAUCCUAGGUUGUCGAAGGCCGAGGACGACAUUAAAGACUUAAGGAGGGAACUCCAUGAUCAAGUCAAUGUGUGCAAUUCAUCCCUGACAAGAACUCCUAGGGCUAGCCAAUUCACGGCAGGGAUUUCGAGUACACCAAGUGCAAGACAUGUGACGGAAAACAUCGAGGAACCACAAUUAACUCCGAUGAAGCCUGUCUUUGGUAAUGAUUACAAGUUCACGGAUGAGGACAUAGAGACAACCAUUUACAUCCGCGGAACAUACGACCCUGUUGAAAUAGUUAGAAUCGGAGACAUUAGCCUCACAGCAGCAAAUCUGAAGCGAAAUUUGGACGACAAAUACAUUUAUGGUGAUGUUAUUAUGGCAUAUGCUCGCAUUAGCCAAAUUGAGAAUGAUACUACCUCAAUCAUAUCCCCUCAAGAAACCGAAAAGUUGUUACAAAUGCAGGGGGUGGUUCCUGUUGGACGUGAAGCCUCAUGGUUAUCUCGUGUAGCAGAAAAAUUUGUAGGGCGCCGAAAGACUCUGAACUCCAUGAAUUAUCAUUGCGACAAGACUAAGGAAGAUUCUCUUCUUGAAAGCUAUGCUAACAAGGAGGUGUACGAAGCCCAGCAAGCAGUUCUACCUGAUGGUUCAGAAGACGACGUACAAUUAGUCAACAAUCCUGAUGGUUUCAACGAACCCGACACAUCCAACUCCCAGAAGGAUACCGGUGCACCCAACUCCCCCUAA
rnacentral:rRNA from 1 species